rnacentral:rRNA from 1 species
AUCGAAUCUUUGAACGCACAUUGCGCCCUCUGGUAUUCCGGAGGGCAUGCCUGUUUGAGCGUCGUUU